rnacentral:sRNA from 1 species
UAGGUAAAACCUGUCCAUCAUGUGUUAUU